rnacentral:lncRNA from 1 species
AUGAUUGCAGUUAAACCGGACGUGCCUAGAGAAGCACUACAAGGUGGAAAGAGUGUUUUAUCGGAAAUUAAGAGUUUAUUUGCAUCUGUCUCUUCAGAUGGUCUGGGAUUAGGUGCAGGGCUGUACGCAUUGACCAACACAGUAGAGAGGAGAGCUCAGAAACGGACCAGUGCCCAAAUGGAAAUCUUGUUUAUGACUGAGACGGCAUGGACCCUGUGCGUUGGUUGGGAAAAGAUAAGCUUCUCAAUAAAAGAGCAAUCAAAUGAAAUGUCCCCUGGGUUUCCUAAUCGAAGCUGUCUGCUCUGCCUUUGUGUUAGAAACGUGGGUUUCAAUACGUGUUCCUGUGUGACCAUAAGUUUCCCCAUCCUAAAAAGUCAAGACAUUUAUGAAUAUGGAAACCUGUAACUCAACAUCUUCAGUUUCCGGAGGAAGAAAAAUCUCCCCCAUAAAACCUGUGAGGGUUGCAAACGAACGGGGAAGGAGGUGAAAAAUGUUACUGUUGCUUUCCUAGAAAUCAACAUAAAUGGACAGUUUGAAUAAUUUUAAAUGUGGCAGAGCACCGCAUACCUCAGGAAAACCCCAUGAAGGAAGAACAUCUAUUCAUUAAGAGCCCAAAUAUUGACCAGAGAAAAUGUAGUGAAAGAAAAAAAAUAAAGUUUUGCAGUAGCAUGGGAAAUAAAUCACAGGAUCUAAACAUCUCCUCACACUUGGCUGAUGCCUACGUCUAGUACCUUU